UGGGCAUUUUUUUUAGGGUUUGUCAGUUUAGGCUCUGUGUUUUGAUUGGUCUCAGACUCUGGUUGUGAUCCGUGGUUAAAGAUAAAGACUGCCUUUUGUUAUUAUUUUAGAGAGAGAAAGAGAGAUUACGAAUUUUAGGGUUAGGGCAAAGAAAAACAAUGCCCCUAACGUUGAGAUUUUAUUUCCUAAAACCCUACCCAAAUGUAUUUAGAAAAAAAAAAAAACUCACACACUCUAUCUAAAGUCCCACCCUAAAAGUAAGAUCCUCUCUCUCUCUCCUAAAAGUCUAUCCUCUCUCUCUUCACUACCCCUAAAUUUUACCCUCUCCCUAAGGUAAGAUACCCCUCUCUACUUAGACUGAAUCCCUCUCAUUCUCUCUCUCUCAAACAUACCCUGAAUUUUACCCUCUAGAGUAAGAUACUAUUUCUUUCUCUCUCUUCCUGUGUCCAAAAAGUAUAUUAAAGGAAUGUUAUUAAAUAAGGAUGCAACCACCAAUCUGCCAUUUGCUUGUAUGUGAAUUCACCUCUUUGUUUGGAUGGGAAGAAGCAUGAGAGUGAUUUCAUGCUAGGUGGGGCUCUAGUGAGAGAGUGAGCACUUCACCUAGAGAGAGAGGGAGGAAGAGGGGUGAAAACACCUAGUACAGCGUUAGAGAGAGAGUUAGGUGAAGUCUAGAGAGAGAGGGGGAGGAAGAGGGGUGAAAACACCUACUACAGGUUUAUAGAGAGAGUGAAUGAUUCUACAUAAGUGAAUUGGCCAAUCAUUAUAGAGAGAGAAAGCAAUAACUUCUAAUAGAGAAAAAGCAACCUCAAAUUUGUGCAUUUUAUAGAAGAGAAUAGUCUCAUGAGGUAACUGAUUAUUCUUUUCUCUUUCCAAACAUGAGGUAAGAAUUAAAGAAGUAUUUUUACAAAGUGAAUAGAUGUUAUCAAGAUUAUCUUAUAUCUUGACUUUUCCUUUUCAUCAACUCUCUCUCUCUCUCUCUCUGCUACAUUAGAAACUCCUAAAACUUGAAAAAUCGCUCUCUCUCUAAAUCAGUGGAAGACCCAAGACAUCUUCUCUCUCAAGAUACACCAGCACCCCAAAACUUUGGUUAGCAGCCCUUCAUAGGAGUAACCACAGGAAUUAUGGUAGCAUUUAGAAAGCUAUGGUUCUUUAGGGAGAUUUUUCCAUGUGAUAUUAAUAAAAAACCCUCAUUGGAGCCCGUUUGUUGGAACCACCAAAAAGGACUAACUUGAAACACAAUAACACUAUGACAGCUUGUGC
rnacentral:lncRNA from 1 species